CAUUAAACCACCUCAAAACACCUGAAAACCUCCGUUUCUCUGUCCAAACGUGGAGUUCCCCCUCUCAGGGUGCCUUUCAGCCCGCACUGGGCACCACAGGCCCCAGUGGGACAGAGGAUUUCUUACCUUUUCACAGCAGCUGGGCCUGAACCUCCCUCACUAGAGUCCCAACCUCGACAGCCUCCUUCUUCUUCCCAGCAAUCCCUGCAAAAAAGGACACUUCCAUGUAUGCUGUACAUGUAGGGGUGACCAAAUUGGACUGGGUCGUUUUUAAAAAGCCAAAAAGGGCCACAAAACCCCAAAAGGGCCCAUUUUGACCCAAUAAUAUACUAGCUUUAAAUUCCCAUUCAAAAAUUGCUCGACAAUGGUUUUAAACAGUGAAACCCACUCCUCAUAUACACCUUGGUCUACCCCUAUGGUUUGAACUUAUCUCGGCCCAUCCAGUUGUCAUACAGUUGAUUCUAAUGAACCAGGCACAGUCGGUGCGCAGCUGAGCUCUCAGAGACUUUCAGUUGCGUUCUGUGCGUUUCCAAAGCCCUGGAGCAUCUGUGACAGGCUGCAAAUAGUCUCUUUGUGGGAUCCGUGGAUCAAUGAGACCCUUUUCUUGUGGACUGGAGCAAGAAAAUUCAAAGGGAAAUAUUUUCACGAGAGCAGAGUCCAACAGAACAAAAGGAAAUCUAUGGAUCCAUUUGGGCAUCUCCAAAAGUGCGCAGGUCUAUCCAAAGGCACAAAGACUUUCCAAAGGCUCCAAGCGGGACAAGUGUAAGUUUAUCCAGCAUAAAAGAAACCUCCAGCCUCGGGUAGCAGCUGAACAAGUGGAGCCCUGUUCUCUCUCUCUCUGCAGCCUGGGAUGAGGAGACGGGAGCAUAAAGGCGAGCAUGUGUUGGGAAUGUCAAAAGGCUUCAUUAUCUGCAGCUCGGGUUGUCCAUGUCAUCGCUCAGACCACAGAACAGACGCGCAUCGGGGGGUCGCGGUCGGUUCUGCAGCAGGACGCACGCCUGUUCUCUUUGUGCAUUUGUCGCAGCGGCUGUCAGAGAGAUCACAUUUCACCCUGAAAGGCGCACGGUGAAGAGACGAACACUCACUGGUCAUGACACACAUGGAGGAACCACACUUGUGCAACGUCAGCUGUGCGUGUUAGUGCUGCUGCGGUCAAGAGAGAGAUGUGUAACGUUAUUAUCUUUAGGUUCCAGAGAGACACAAACAGCCUCGUGUUGCAAGAGUGUUGUGUGUUUUUUUUAUUUCUGAGCUGCUGGCAGGUGGAGCGACGUGUUGACGGUUUGAAACCCACAGUGGUGAGGUCUGGAGCCAGUGAACACAGAGACAUGAGGUACAGAUCAAUCCAUAUCCCUGUUAUUGAUAACAUUUCAUAUUUAUUCAUCUCAUUCAUUAUGUAGAACUGUUAAUUAAAUAAAGUGUUUUAUCAUAAUUAA